rnacentral:rRNA from 1 species
UGUCUCUGGGCCAAUACUGACACUGAGGAGCGAAAGCGCGGGGAGCGAACAGGAUUAGUUACCCUGGUAGUCCCCGCCGUAACCGGUGGGCGCUAGUUGUGGGAACCUUCCACGGUUUCUGCGACGCAGCUAACGCAUUAAGAGCCCCGCCUGAGGAGUACGAUCGCAAGAUUAAAACUCAAAGGAAUUGACGGGGCCCCGCACAAGCUGCGGAGCAUGCAGCUUAAUUCGACGCAACGCGAAGAACCUUACCAAGGCUUGACAUAUACCGAAAAGCAGCAGAGAUGUUGUGUCCGCAAGGGCGGUAUACUGGUGGUGCAUGGUUGUCGUCAGCUCGUGUCGUGAGAUGUUGGGUUAAGUCCCGCAACGAGCGCAACCCUCGUUCUGUGUUGCCAGCAUUUAGUUGGGGACUCACAGGAGACUGCCGUGGUUAUCACGGAGGAAGGUGGGGAUGACGUCAAAUCAUCAUGCCCCUUAUAUCUUGGGCUGCACGCAUGCUACAAUGGCAGGUACAAAGGGCUGCAA